rnacentral:rRNA from 1 species
CCUCCAGACUCCUACGGGAGGCAGCAGUGGGGGAUAUUGCACAAUGGGGGGAACCCUGAUGCAGCGACGCCGCGUGGGUGAAGAAGCGCGUCGGCGCGUAAAGCCCUGUCAGCAGGGAAGAAAAUGACGGUACCUGAAGAAGAAGCCCCGGCUAACUACGUGCCAGCAGCCGCGGUAAUACGUAGGGGGCAAGCGUUAUCCGGAUUUACUGGGUGUAAAGGGAGCGUAGACGGCCAUGCAAGCCAGGGGUGAAAGCCCGGGGCCCAACCCCGGGACUGCCCUUGGAACUGUGCGGCUAGAGUGCGGGAGGGGCAGGCGGAAUUCCUGGUGUAGCGGUGAAAUGCGUAGAUAUCAGGAGGAACACCGGCGGCGAAGGCGGCCUGCUGGACGAUGACUGACGUUGAGGCUCGAAAGCGUGGGGAGCAAACAGGAUUAGAUACCCGUGUAA